AACGAACGCUGGCGGCAUGCCUAACACAUGCAAGUCGAACGAGACCUUCGGGUCUAGUGGCGCACGGGUGCGUAACGCGUGGGAACCUGCCCUUAGGUUCGGAAUAACUCUCUGAAAGGGGUGCUAAUACCGGAUAAUGUCUUCGGACAAAAGAUUCAUCGCCUUUGGAUGGGCCCGCGUUGGAUUAGCUGUUUGGUAGGGUAAAAGCCUACCAAGGCGGCGAUCCAUAGCUGGUCUGAGGGGAGGGUCAGCCACCCUGGGGGUGGGACCAGGCCCGAACCCUGGCGGAGGGGAGCAAGGGGGAAAUAGGGACAUGGGGUGAAAGCCGAACCCAGCAGGGCCGGGAAGGUGUUGAGGGCGUAAGGAUUAGAAGCCGUUUUAACCCGGGAUGUUAAGAAGGUACCCGGAGAAAAAGCCCCGGCUAACUUCGUG
rnacentral:rRNA from 1 species